GACGAACGCUGGCGGCGUGCCUAACACAUGCAAGUCGAGCGGGGUUGAGGCGAGAGGUAACUCGAGCUUCUACCUAGCGGCGGACGGGUGAGUAACGCGUGGGCAACCUGCCUCAAGGUUUGGGAUAACAGCCCGAAAGGGCUGCUAAUACCGGAUAUGCCUAUGGCCUCGCAUGGGGCUAUGAGCAAAGGGGAAACCCGCCUUGAGAUGGGCCCGCGUCCCAUCAGCUAGUUGGUGAGGUAACAGCUCACCAAGGCGACGACGGGUAGCCGGCCUGAGAGGGUGACCGGCCACACUGGGACUGAGACACGGCCCAGACUCCUACGGGGGGCAGCAGUGGGGGAUCUUGCACAAUGGGCGAAAGCCUGAUGCAGCGACGCCGCGUGAGCGAAGAAGGCCUCGGUUGUAAGCUCUGUCUGGAGGGACGGAACAAAUAGACGGUACCUCCGGAGGAAGCCACGGCUAACUACGUGCCAGCAGCCGCGGUAAACGUAG
rnacentral:rRNA from 1 species